UGCUUUGUGGCUUAGAUGAUUAAAGCGCCGGGUUAGCGAUACGGAGUCGUGGAUUCAAAUCCCACCAAAACAA
rfam:Aedes albopictus isolate Foshan contig35763, whole genome shotgun sequence.